GGAGAGGUGGCCGAGCGGUCGAAGGCGGCGGUCUUGAAAACCGCAGAGCGCGCGAGCGCUCCGGGGGUUCGAAUCCCCCCCUCUCCG
rnacentral:tRNA from 1 species